CCUGCUGCCAUUAGGAGGAAAACCCCCACUAGAGCGAUGAUGACUGCAGGAACAGUUUGGAGAGACAACAUCAAAAGGAGCUGAAGCUGUGCAGUCAGUAAUCAGAUUACAUCUUCUAUGGAGACCAAGCAGAAAGAACUCAAGAAGAACUUUACCUGCUGGAAAAUAUUUGAUUAAGAUGUUAGACUUUGGCUGCUCUGACGCAGAAGAAAGUGAGGGACCAGAAGUCUGUGCAGAUGUGAGGAAGGUAAAACUGUCUUCACUGGAAGUUGACAUGAUGAGGAGAGGAGGAGGAGGAGAGGAAGACGUCCCAGAGGUUGUUUGAACCAAAGCAGAAGAAGUUGAAGCAGAGGAUGCCUGCCUGUGGGAUCCUGCAGUCGGAGUUGGAGGUGGAGGUGUUGAUCUCAGUGUACGGGCAGCAGACAUCUCAACAUGCUGAUGAGAAUACCUGAAGAGUUGAAGCAGAAGACAGCAAACUUUCUAUGCGAUGGUGCAUUCCACGACACCACGCCGGUGUUUCCCUUUCCACAGAAUUUGUCAGAUUUA